CCUCUGCACUGGUUUGGCACAAGACCUCCCGAGCAGGACAUGUAACCCACAAAAUUUAGCGAGUAUCCAGGCUUUGCUUCUUGUGAGAUUUAACGACGAUGAUGGUCUUAAAAUGGUUUUACCACAAGAAAAGCUUCCCCUACAUGGAGUACACCUGUUGUCUUCCCCCCUGAGGCCUCACACUGCCAGUCUGAGGAAUAAAAUGAUAGAUCCAGAUGCUUUACCACAGAUCAUGGGGAGACAAUACAGAUUUGAUGAGAGAAGUGUGUUUGAGGUCAGAAACACAUCCUUACCUGAUGAAAGGUCUUGAGAUGGCCAGGACGGUUCGGAUGAACCAUGUUGGGUGCACAGACCGCCUUACUUUCUGUCAAUCAUCUGGUAGCAUCUCUUCAGCCAGCUGAUGCCGGGCAUCUUCCUGCGAGGAGUUGCUCCGUUCAGGUAAACGAUCAUAUAGUCU